ensembl:snoRNA LOC120102071 small nucleolar RNA SNORA17
ACUGUCCUUAGAGGCUUUGCAGGUAUGACUGAUGUGUCAGAGAUGCACCAGUAGGUAGUAGAGAGGAGAGAAGGUAUGUAUACAUUCAAUAUUCUGACCUGUGAUUAGUAGCCUAAUAUU